UACGUAGGGGGCAAGCGUUAUCCAGAUUUACUGGGCGUAAGCGCGUGUAGGCGGCUGGUUAGGUGUGAUGUGAAAUCUUCGGGCUCAACCCGAAAACUGCAUUGCAAACCGGCCUGGCUAGAGUGCAGGAGAGGGAAGCGGAAUUCCAGGUGGAGCGGUGAAAUGCGUAGAGAUCGGAAAGAACACCAACGGCGAAAGCACUCUGCUGGGCCGACACUGACACUGAGAGACGAAAGCUAGGGGAGCGAAUGGG
rnacentral:rRNA from 1 species